rnacentral:siRNA from 1 species
GCCAUGCAUGUGUAAGUAUGA